CCUACGGGAGACAGCAGUGGGGAAUAUUGCGCAAUGGGCGAAAGCCUGACGCAGCGACGCCGCGUGAGGGAUGAAGGUCUUCGGAUCGUAAACCUCUGUCAGCAGGGAAGAACGGUCACUGUGCUAAUCAGCAGUGAAUUGACGGUACCUGCAAAGGAAGCACCGGCUAACUCCGUGCCAGCAGCCGCGGUAAUACGGAGGGUGCGAGCGUUAAUCGGAAUUACUGGGCGUAAAGCGCUCGUAGGCGGUAUGUCAAGUCAAGGGUGAAAUCCCCGCGCUCAACGUGGGAACUGCCUUUGAAACUGGCAAACUGGAGUGUGUGAGAGGAUAGUGGAAUUCCAGGUGUAGGAGGGAAAGCCGUAGAUAUCUGGAGGAACAUCAGUGGCGAAGGCGACUAUCUGGCACAUAACUGACGCUGAGGAGCGAAAGCGUGGGUAGCAAACAGGAUUAGAUACCCCAGUAGUC
rnacentral:rRNA from 1 species